GAACUGGUAGGAUACAGGAAUUGAAAACCACAAAUAUUGAUAUCAUUAAAUUUCUGCAUUUAGACAAUUAAAUUAAUCAGUUUAAUCAACAUAGUUAUAUUUAUAUCCUUAAAUAACUACAUUUGCAUAUUUUAUUAUUUUAACUUAAAAUGUACAUUUGUUUGUUUAAGAAUGUGUCUGUCUGUCUGUCCAUCUGUCUGUCUGUGGGUACUUGUAUAGAGGUCAUAAGACAGUCAAGUGAACCGUGUUUUUCCUUUACCCUGUGUGUACUGAGUUCAGGUUGUCAGGAUUGAGCACUAGUGCCUCUACCCAUCCCCUGAGCUCCCUCAGAACACAAAUAUUUAUAGGAAAACUCAGACUAAGAGGAAAUAAGCAAAAAGAUAAUAUGGCUGUUUUAAAUGAAGAAAUUUCUCUCUUCUCUGAACUUGAAAGACUUCUAUGAAAAGUUAGAAAGAAAAAGUUGUAAAAAAAAAAAAAAGUGAGUUCCAGGACAGCCAGGGCUAUACAGAGAAACCCUGUCUCGAAAAACCAAACC
rnacentral:lncRNA from 1 species